rnacentral:lncRNA from 1 species
AGGAUCAGCAGAGGUCUGAUAUUCGUUUCUACAAGCCCUGCUCCUGUUUCCUGCUUGCCUCAGCAAGAACAGCAAUGAACUCCAUUUGUAUUUAGAAACUGCUUCACAGUUAUUCCCUCAGCAUUUAGAAGAGGGCCAGGUGACAUUUCUCAAGAAGGGGACCAGGAUGGUAAAACAAAGCUCUUCAGAAUUGAGUCAGAGAGGUCUAACAAGACCUUAGAGAGGUAAGACAAGCGUUUGCUUUCUUGAUAAAUCUUGAAGACAAUCUAGGUUAUGUUCCAUGUAAAGAACAUGAUGGUUAAACAAAGGAAUAAUUAUUCUUUAUUUUAGAAACUAGUGAAACAUUUGGCAAAAGAGCUGUGGAAUGACUGAAAGACACUUUGUGCCCAUCUUCCAUGCAACAUCAGUAAAACAGAAUCGGAAUGAGACAUGGACAGAGAGGAGGCUUUCUUGCUCCUGCAAAGAUACAAACCUGCCAGCAGUUCCAGGACUACUGGGGCUAUGUGAGAUUUCUUUCUCCUUAUUGCUUCCAAAAAAAGCAAAGGUAAGUCUCUCCCUUUCUGAGUGGUUUUUUGUGCAAAUCUUUGCAUAGCUUCAGUACAAUUAUGAGAGGGGAAAUGGUUUUGAGCCAACUGAAUUAAUUGCAAAUUGAUUUAAUGGGUUCAGCCACUGAAUCAGGGUUUUGAAUAACUGAGAUACUUUUCAGUGUAAGCAAUAAAUGCCGGGGAUAGAACUGUAUUAUAGGCA